CUUUCGGGUGUCUCUUAUAGAUGGACCCGCUAAUGCAUUACCUAUUUGGUGAUGUAACGGCUCACCAAGGCCACGAUGCAUACCCCACCUAAAAGGUUGAUCUCCCACACUGUACUGAGACACCGCCCACACUCCUACAGAAGGCAGCACUACUGAAUCUUCCUCAAUGGACUAAAGUCUGACCGACCAACACCCCGUGACUUAAAAUGUUUUCAGAUCCUAAAACUCUGUUGUUACAAAACAACAAAGACUUUAGUAACUGAACGUCCCCUGACGGUAUCUAACC
rnacentral:rRNA from 1 species